GUCCAGGUCCUGUUCAGUCGAAACCGGUUCCAACCCGUCAGGUCCGGAAGGAAGCAGCGGAGAGCCGCAGACGAUGCGGAGCAGUCAACCUGGACUAU
rnacentral:SRP_RNA from 1 species